rnacentral:rRNA from 1 species
GGAGGGGUGCAAGCGUUGUUCGGAAUUAUUGGGCGUAAAGAGCGUGUAGGCGGGUUAGGAAAGUCAGAUGUGAAAGCCCUGGGGCUCAACCCAGGAAGUGCAUUUGAAACUGCCUGACUUGAGUACGGGAGAGGAGGGGGGAAUUCCCGGUGUAGAGGUGAAAUUCGUAGAUAUCGGGAGGAAUACCGGUGGCGAAGGCGCCCCUCUGGACUGAUACUGACGCUGAGACGCGAAAGCGUGGGGAGCAAACAGGAUUAGAUACCCUGGUAGUCCACGCCGUAAACGAUGAGCACUAGAUGUAGCGGGUAUUGACCCCUGCUGUGCCGUAGCUAACGCAUUAAGUGCUCCGCCUGGGGACUACGGUCGCAAGACUA